ACUCCUGCGGGAGGCAGCAGUGGGGAAUAUUGGACACUGGGCGCAAGCCUGAUCCAGCCAUGCCGCGUGAGUGAUGAAGGCCCUAGGGUUGUAAAGCUCUUUCACCGGUGAAGAUAAUGACGGUAACCGGAGAAGAAGCCCCGGCUAACUUCGUGCCAGCAGCCGCGGUAAUACGAAGGGGGCUAGCGUUGUUCGGAUUUACUGGGCGUAAAGCGCACGUAGGCGGACUAUUAAGUCAGGGGUGAAAUCCCGGGGCUCAACCCCGGAACUGCCUUUGAUACUGGUAGUCUUGAGUUCGAGAGAGGUGAGUGGAAUUCCGAGUGUAGAGGUGAAAUUCGUAGAUAUUCGGAGGAACACCAGUGGCGAAGGCGGCUCACUGGCUCGAUACUGACGCUGAGGUGCGAAAGCGUGGGGAGCAAACAGGAUUAGAAACCCCAGUAGUCCCAUG
rnacentral:rRNA from 1 species